rnacentral:lncRNA from 1 species
UAGCGUGUGAUUGUGCAGCCAUUUUUAGUUCUGUUUUUUGAAUUCAUCAAAACUUAGACUAAGUAUGUGUGUAUGUGAUUCUUUAUUCAUAGGCACAGCAACUGUACACGGGGAAGCCACUCUGCGAGAGCAGAACUGAAAAUCUGCAGAGAUUCGAGGAGCCCAAAACAGAAAAGAAAUGCAUAUUUCAAGAGAAAACUAGAAGCAAAAUUUACUUGAAACUCCAAAAUACCGCCCCAAACCUAAAAUGAUCCAAAUGUACCAGAUGUGAUGUGAGCAUCGAUAUUGACGCGUCCUGAUAUUGUCAGGAUGUCCCUGCGGCAAAGAGGUCAUUGGAUGUUGGAGUGAAAGGAUAUCUAGACCAUCCUCCGUGACACUGCAAAUAAAGGUUUGCGCACUAUUUUAAGAGGUACACAGAUUCAUCAGAUCUUCCCGUGGAUCAGAGAUUAAGAGAAGACGACCUUGUGUCCCUUCUGAACAGACAAGUAAGAUGAAAACUGAUUUGAUGGAUAUCACCCACCCGUUUUAAAAUAGCUCUGAAAAUGGCUCUACUUUUCCCCUGGAAAGAAAUAUAAUUCCACAUCCCUCACUGGGAGAAGAAGCAUUUCAUAGUAGCUAUGACUCGGAAACCGUAUAUUCCCAGAUACAGGUCAGUAGCAAGCUGUAUGUAUUUCUUUUGAAAAUAAGAAGAAAGGGACGUGAGGGUGAUCCGGCCGUGACAUCUGUCACCCCAUUGAUUGCCAGUGUUGACUCAGCUGAUCUGGCAGGCUAGGCAGGUGUCCCCUCCCGCCUCACGCGGUCCAUGCACGAAGCUGCACACGCCUGCUCGGAUUAGGAGGACGACCUUCCCCGUUACAGGGGGAUCAUUCUUGCAUCACGGGUAUUCAAGUGGCUGCUGUCCCCUGUUAGAAUCUCCAAACAAGCUUUCAAGGCCCGUUUGUAGAAGAGCAUAGAGGAGUCCAGCCUCCAAGACUCCACACACGUGCAAAUGAGGUGCUACAUGUGGCGGGCUGUCUUUCUUUCUUUCUUUCUUUCUUUCUUUCUUUCUUUCCUUCAAUAAAUAAAUAAGAAAAAAAAAUAUAUAUAUAUAU